CCUACGGGAGGCAGCAGUGGGGAAUAUUGCGCAAUGGGCGAAAGCCUGACGCAGCGACGCCGCGUGAGGGAUGAAGGUCUUCGGAUCGUAAACCUCUGUCAGCAGGGAAGAACGGUCACUGUGCUAAUCAGCAGUGAAUUGACGGUACCUGCAAAGGAAGCACCGGCUCACUCCGUGCCAGCAGCCGCGGUAAUACGGAGGGUGCGAGCGUUAAUCGGAUUUACUGGGCGUAAAGCGCUCGUAGGCGGUAUGUCAAGUCAAGGGUGAAAUCCCCGCGCUCAACGUGGGAACUGCCUUUGAAACUGGCAAACUGGAGUGUGUGAGAGGAUAGUGGAAUUCCAGGUGUAGGAGUGAAAGCCGUAGAUAUCAGGAGGAACAUCAGUGGCGAAGGCGACUAUCUGGCACAUAACUGACGCUGAGGAGCGAAAGCGUGGGUAGCAAACAGGAUUAGAGACCCUAGUAGUC
rnacentral:rRNA from 1 species